UACGGAGGGUGCGAGCGUUGUCCGGAUUUAUUGGGUUUAAAGGGUGCGUAGGCGGCUAAUUAAGUCAGCGGUGAAAUUCCAGAGCUCAACUCUGCGAACUGCCAUUGAUACUGGUUGGCUUGAGUACAGAUGAGGUAGGCGGAAUUGACAGUGUAGCGGUGAAAUGCUUAGAUAUUGUCAAGAACACCUAUUGCGAAGGCAGCUUACUAAACUGUAACUGACGCUGAGGCACGAAAGCGUGGGGAUCAAACAGG
rnacentral:rRNA from 1 species